AUGGUUCGAAUUAGAAUUCCACCAUCAAGGGUUCGUGGCCAGCAUGUCCUACUACUUUGGCAAAUGAUGCAGGAGCUUGGGGCACCAUGUCCUCAAUUCUUUGAAGAGAUGCCAGAUGAUGGAACACACUCCUACAGACGUGUAGUUGUGGUGCUCAGCGGUGUUCCAUCAGACAUGGACUUCUAUGUGGAGCUCUCCACAAUGCAGCGGUCAUCCGAUGACACUCUACCCAUGCAGGAGGUUGCCAAGGAAGCUAUGCUUGGACUGCGAGCAUGCUUUGGAGAGAAACUACGCACCACCGGAUACCGUGACUUGCCAGCACUUAAUUCUGGGAGUUUUGGGCAGAACCAUCAACAAGGACCUAGAGGAGCAAGCCUGGGUGUUGGGUCUUCAUCAGCUCAGCCUACACCUGCCGGUUCAACAGUUAGCACCACUUCUAGUAUGACAAUGAUUGCUGAUACGAUGAUGUAUCAUACAAUGAAGGAGGAGCUUAUUAGACACCAGGAAGCAACCCAAUUCUGGUAUCAAUGCUAUCAGAUGAGCGAACAUGAUAGGAUUAUGCUUCAGGGAGCACUAAAUGCUAUGCCUGGAGGUCCUCUGAAUCCUAUAGUAGUACCAGGUGAUGUUCAAGAGGAAGAAGAGGAGGAUCCAGAGGAAGUAGAACCAGAGGAACCGGAAGAAGUUGAGGGAGUAGAGAACCCAAAUGAGCCACUAGUUCCACCCCCACCAAACGUACCACCUACACCACCCCAGCCACUACCUGAGCAUAUAGAUGAACCAGAACCAGCCCUACAGCCAGAUAUAGAGCAGCAGCAGCUACCCCACUUCCCUAUCCCACGACCACACCAACCUGACUUUAUCCACCCACACAUGAGUGUCAGCUUGAGGGAGUACAGGGAGGUUGCUACCUAUGCAAGGGUACUUGGGCUUGGCACGAGUGGCAGCGGAGGAAGCAAUGGAAGUGGCAGCGGUAGCAACAAUGGCAGUGGCAGCAGCAUCGUCUAA
rnacentral:rRNA from 1 species